UCCCUUUUUCGUGGAUCGUUUACAGAAAAACAUUAUUAUCAAAACAGGGCAAAAUGUUUCUUAAGCCCAUGAUUGGCAUAUUUUACUAUACCUUCCUAUGUAAGUGGAAUCCUUGCUGCAUUUCUUAAAAGGCAGAAAAGCUACUUGUUUUCCUUCUUCAUUCUUAUCUAAUAGGAAGGCUGCCAAAAGGCUCCAUUCCUGGUGGUGAUGCCUGCAUCCUUCCCAUCCUCCUGCUCCCUCCCGGCCCAAAUCUAGCGUCCUGAGGAGAACUGAGCAUGCUCAGUAGCCACAGCCAAUUCCGGGAUGCAAACUGGCAUCUUUUGCAGAUUUUGAGCCCAGCAGGAGAGCAACAUCAGCUGCUCCCGGCUGAGAAAGAUGUUGCCUGAAGAGCUACAAAGUCUGUGAGCCAGCCAGAGAGAUUGUGGAGAGGAUAAGCAAACCAACUACUUACCCAAGAAUUAGAUCGAGGGAGGUGUCUGAAGACCCAGAAAUAAACAGGCUUUUUCUAAAUGACAA